UCCAGGGUGUAAACGCUGCUCGCUUGAUGUUAGUUGGGCUCCGAGCCCAACUAGUGUCGGAGAGAAGUUGUUAAGCGAGCUGCCUGGGAAGUACGGUCGCAAGGCUGAAACUUAAAGGAAUUGGCGGGGGAGCACUGCAACGGGUGGAGCGUGCGGUUUAAUUGGAUUCAACGCCGGAAACCUUACCAGGGGAGACGGUUACAUGAAGGCCAGGCUGAUGACCUUGCCUGAUUUUCCGAGAGGUGGUGCAUGG
rnacentral:rRNA from 1 species